GUGUCGUGAGAUGUUGGGUUAAGUCCCGCAACGAGCGCAACCCUUGUUCACUGUUGCCAGCACGUUAUGGUGGGGACUCAGUGGAGACCGCCGGGGCCAACUCGGAGGAAGGUGGGGAUGACGUCAAGUCAUCAUGCCCCUUAUGUCCAGGGCUUCACGCAUGCUACAAUGGCUGGUACAGAGAGUGGCGAGCCUGUGAGGGUGAGCGAAUCUCGGAAAGCCGGUCUCAGUUCGGAUUGGGGUCUGCAACUCGACCUCAUGAAGUCGGAGUCGCUAGUAAUCGCAGAUCAGCAACGCUGCGGUGAAUACGUUCCCGGGGCUUGUACACACCGCCCGUCAAGUCAUGAAAGUUGGUAACACCCGAAGCCGGUGGCCUAACCGUUGUGGGGGAGCCGUCGAAGGUGGGACUGGUGAUUAGGACUAAGUCGUAACAAGGUAACCGUUA
rnacentral:rRNA from 1 species